GUGAUGGAAGUUUUUAUGUACGAUUGCCUGAUCUGAAGACAAGACUUUCGCUGCAUGCAUAUUUAAUGUAUGACGUCACCCACACAGAGUGAGAGCUCGAGGUUUUCUUUGAAAGGUUGAUGGAAAAUGUACAGAGACACUAGUCUUGUCGCAGUUAAUGCAUGCAGUACCAAAUGCUUGCUUUCUUGGAGUAUGUGCUUGAAACAAGAAUGUCCUGGAGAAAACAGACCACCACAAGAGAAGACAUACAUGUACAGUAUGGACUAUGAAGUUCUACUUAGCCUCUUCAAUGAACUGCUGUAGCUGCGACUGGGUAUCAAAACCUUGGUAUUAUAAACUUCAUAACCAGUGGCGGAGAUAUGUUGUUAGCCAGGGGGGAGGGGUCAGUGCCCCCCCCCCCCCACUUUUUCAAG